GCUGCUUACUUGAUGCCAUGAGUGUCCAACCUUUAGGCUUCCCUGGGCCACAUUGGAAGAAGAAUUGUCUUGGGCCACACAUAAAAUAUACU